GAUGAACGCUGGCGGCGUGCCUAAUACAUGCAAGUCGAGCGAACAGACGAAGAGCUUGCUGCUCUGACGUUAGCGGCGGACGGGUGAGUAACACGUGGCUAACCUACCUAUCAGAGUGGGGUAAGUUAGGGAAACCGGAGCUAAUACCGGAUAAUAUAUUGGACCGCAUGGUGUUAUAGUGAAAGACGGUUUUGCUGUCACUUCUAGGUGGAUCCGCGCCGCGUUAGCUGGUUGGUAAGGUAAGGGCUUACCAGGGCAACGAUGCGUAGCCGACCGGAGCGGGUGAUCGGCCACCCGGGAGCUGAGACGCGGUCCAGACGCCUACGGGAGGCCGCAGUCGGGAAUCGGCCGCAAUGGUCGGAAGCUUUACGGAGCAACGCCGCGUGUGUGAUGAAGGCCUUCGGAUCGUAAAGCCCUGUUACUAGUGAAGAACCAAUGUGAGAGUAACUAUGCACAUAUUGACGGUACCUACAGAGGAAGCCCCGGCUAACUACGUG
rnacentral:rRNA from 1 species